CGGGGCAUAGCUCAAUUGGCAGAGCGGCUGUUUUAUAAACAGUGAGCGCCGGAUUAGCGCGUGAUGCAGGUUCGAGUCCUGCUGCCCCGA
rnacentral:tRNA from 1 species